rnacentral:rRNA from 1 species
GCGGUGGAGCAUGUGGUUUAAUUCGAAGCAACGCGAAGAACCUUACCAGGUCUUGACAUCCCCUGACAACCGAGAGAUCAGGCGUUCCCCGUUCGGGGGACAGGGUGACAGGUGGUGCAUGGUUGUCGUCAGCUCGUGUCGUGAGAUGUUGGGUUAAGUCCCGCAACGAGCGCAACCCCUACGUUUAGUUGCUAACGCGUGAAGGCGAGCACUCUAGACGAACUGCCGUUGACAAAACGGAGGAAGGUGGGAUGACGUCAAAUCAUCAUGCCCCUUAUGUUCUGGGCUACACACGUGCUACAAUGGCCGGUACAGACGGACGCAAAGCCGCGAGGUGGAGCAAAUCCUAAAAAGCCGGUCUCAGUUCGGAUUGCAGGCUGCAAUUCGCCUGCAUGAAGUCGGAAUCGCUAGUAAUCGCAGGUCAGCAUACUGCGGUCGAAUACGUUCCCGGGCCUU